rnacentral:tRNA from 1 species
AUUCAAAUAGCUUAAUAAGAGCAUGAUAUUGAAGAUAUCAGGGUAAUAAUGUUAUUUUUGGAUA